GCCAUUUUUAUUAGUUUAUAUCGCGUUUCAAUCGCGAAAUAAUUUAAGAAAAUUCGAUAUAUUUAGUGAAAGAAAAUUCAUUACGGCUACCUAAUAGAAACGACACAAGUUCUGAAUGUUUAAAACGGUAUCGGGACGGCAAUGCGGGCUUUGCAUUCGAUUGACCACUUGCAGAGCGGUGUAUUGUGGCCGAUUUAAAGCGCGUGGCGGGAAAUGCACGUACCUGGACACCGGCUCGUGAAUCAUGACCACACGGUUUUAAUUGAUGGAUUUAAUUGAUAUGGAAUGGAAAUGGUGUCGUAUUUUCCCGAAGCUUCACCGACUAUCAACAGUCGAUUCAUGGAAUUUUCCAGCCCGGAUGGUGACCCAAAUUGUGUUCGGAUGUGCGAACUCACUGUGUGCUCUGAACCCACCUGAUUUAAGGAAUUAAACGUCUGUCGUAAAACUUGUGCCACGAAGAUUUCCAACAGUCAACACUUUGUAUCGGCUGGUUCAGACGGAACAGUCCGCAUGUGGAAUGCCGUAAAAAUGGACACCUCCAGUUCCUUAUCGCUGUCAUCAAAAUACGAAAUACAGAAAUCGGCAGGCCAAGUUAUGGCACAACAGGGGCUGAACCGCCAUAUGAGUUCCACCACAACCAAUAAUACUCAGAGCACCAGAAGUUCCU